GAGCCGAGAGGGCCAUCUGAAGGGAGACGCUGGGCUGUGGGAGCCACACGCAGGGAGGGUCGAAGUCAUGAUCCCCCCGCAGGAGGCGUCCGCUCGGCGGCGGGAGAUCGAGGACAAGCUGAAACAGGAGGAGGAGACGCUGUCCUUCAUCCGAGACAGCCUGGAGAAGAGCGACCAGCUCACCAAGAACAUGGUGUCUAUCCUGUCAUCCUUUGAGAGUCGCCUUAUGAAGCUGGAGAACUCCAUCAUCCCUGUGCACAAGCAGACGGAGAACCUGCAGCGGCUGCAGGAGAACGUCGAGAAGACCCUGUCCUGUCUGGACCACGUCAUCAGCUACUAUCACGUGGCCAGUGACACUGAGAAGAUCAUCAGGGAGGGGCCCACAGGUAGGCUAGAGGAGUACCUGGGAAGCAUGGCCAAGAUUCAGAAGGCUGUGGAGUAUUUCCAGGACAAUAGCCCAGACAGCCCAGAGCUCAACAAAGUGAAGCUGCUAUUUGAGCGGGGGAAGGAGUCGCUGGAGUCCGAGUUCCGCAGCCUGAUGACCCGGCACAGCAAGGUGGUGUCCCCAGUGCUCAUCCUGGAUCUGAUCGGUGGUGAGGAGGACCUGGAGCUCCAGGAGGAGGUGCCCCUGGAGCACCUGCCCGAGAGCGUGCUGCACGACGUGGUCCGCAUCUCCCGCUGGCUGGUGGAGUACGGCCGCAACCAAGAUUUCAUGAACGUCUACUACCAGAUCCGCUCCAGCCAGCUGGACCGCUCCAUCAAAGGCCUGAAGGAGCAUUUCCGGAAGAGCAGUUCUUCCUCCGGGGUCCCCUACUCCCCCGCCAUCCCCAACAAGAGGAAAGACACACCCACCAAGAAGCCAGUCAAGCGGCCAGGGACGAUCCGUAAGGCUCAGAACCUUCUGAAACAAUAUUCCCAGCAUGGUCUAGAUGGGAAAAAGGGGGGCUCUAACCUCAUUCCUCUGGAAGGUCACGAGCAUGAUUUCCGAGUUAAGCACCUGUCCGAGGCCCUGAACGACAAGGCCGGGCCGUUGGCCGGGAGAGACGACAUGCUGGACGUGGAAACCGAUGCCUACAUUCACUGCGUCAGUGCCUUUGUCAAGCUGGCCCAGAGCGAGUACCAGCUGCUGACAGACGUCAUCCCUGAGCACCAUCAGAAAAAGACCUUCGACUCUUUGAUACAGGACGCUCUGGACGGGCUCAUGCUCGAAGGCGAGAACAUUGUGGUGGCUGCCCGCAAGGCCAUCAUCCGACACGACUUCUCGGCUGUGCUCACCGUCUUCCCCAUCCUGCGGCACCUCAAGCAGACCAAGCCUGAGUUUGACCAGGUGCUCCAGGGCACGGCCGCCAGCACCAAGAACAAGCUGCCCAGCCUCAUCACCUCCAUGGAGACCGUGGGAGCCAAAGCGCUGGAGGACUUCGCCGACAACAUCAAGAACGACCCAGACAAGGAAUACAACAUGCCCAAGGAUGGCACCGUGCACGAGCUCACGAGCAACGCCAUCCUCUUCCUGCAGCAGCUCCUGGACUUCCAGGAGACAGCGGGUGCCAUGCUGGCCUCCCAAGAGACCAGUUCCUCCGCCACCAGCUACAGCUCCGAGUUCAGCAAGCGUCUGCUGAGCACCUACAUCUGUAAAGUCCUGGGCAACCUGCAGUUGAACCUGCUGAGCAAGUCCAAGGUGUAUGAGGACCCGGCUCUGAGCGCCAUCUUCCUGCACAACAACUACAACUACAUCCUCAAGGCCCUGGAGAAGUCUGAGCUGAUCCAGCUGGUGGCUGUGACCCAGAAGACUGCUGAGCGCUCCUACCGGGAGCACAUAGAGCAACAGAUCCAGACCUACCAGCGCAGUUGGUUAAAGGUGACUGACUACAUUGCCGAGAAGAAUCUACCUGUGGUCCAACCUGGAGUCAAGCUUCGGGACAAGGAGCGGCAGAUGAUCAAGGAGCGUUUUAAGGGUUUCAACGAUGGCCUUGAGGAGUUGUGCAAGAUCCAGAAGGCCUGGGCAAUUCCCGACACGGAGCAGAGGGACAAGAUCCGCCAAGCCCAGAAGAGCAUCGUUAAGGAGACCUACGGGGCCUUUCUAAGCAGGUAUGGCAGCGUGCCCUUCACCAAGAACCCGGAGAAGUACAUCAAGUACCGCGUGGAGCAGGUGGGGGACAUGAUCGAUCGCCUCUUUGACACCUCGGCCUGAGCUGCCGCUGCCCCUGCCUGGCUCUGCCAGAGCAGCUGUGUCACUGGACAGAUAAACAGCCCCCAUUCCCUACCCAGGCAGCGCUUUCCCAGAACUUUGGGGUUCCUCCACACCUUGAGGUUCAUGACCCUGACCACAGCCUGCAGUAGCCAUGGGAUGGCUUCAAGACGAGAAGGACUGAGAAGGGAGACGGAGGUCUGUGCCCACAGCUGCUUCGCGGGACGGGAGGAGGAGGGCUGCUGAGUAGCCCUGCCUCGGGCCAGCUCGGGACUGGGGUGGAGAAUGCCCUUCAGCCCAGGCCUGAGGGUCGGGCUCAGAGGAGCAGGCCACACCACAGCCCCAGGCCCUGCAGAAAAGCAGGGCAGAAAAUGCCUGCCCCAUCCCCACAGUCCUGCCGCCUGGGGGGUUCUGCCCCUGAGGUGAGUCCGGGUGUCUGGAGUAGAAGUGCUCUCCCUGCCCUCUGAGCACUUGGCCGGAAUUCACAGAAGGGGUCCUGACCAUCCCGGGCCUGUCUCUGGGGCUCCAGUGCUCCUGGCCCGGGGCCAAGCAGCAGCGGUUGCAGGAGCAGUUAGGUGGUGUGUGGGGACGGGGUGACCAGCAGACAGUGGUGAGACGGUCUGGAGCAGAGCAGGGCUCGGGGACAUGAGAUGGGGCCCCACCUACUCCAACAAGAGUGAACAGCUGAGUGCAAUGAAGCCAGACUCCAGAGGCGCCCUUGCCCUGGGGUGAUGUGUUUAUUCCACACUCCUUGCUUAUGUGCUAACAGGAAGGAGAGGUCGGGGUGGCCUGGGGUCCUCCAGGCUGAGGGGAGAGAGUCCACUUCCCUCCCCCUCCAGAGGCCCCGUCACAGCCCUCGCCCCCCACGUCUGCAGCCCCGGGCCCUGCCCGUUACAGCCUGGGCUGCCCGCCGUGGGGUGCAGCCGCUCCAGGGGCUGGGUCCGACUUGCACGUCGCCCACAUCCAGAGCAUAAUGAAGAUGAACUGGCUACACGCCACCCCCACCACAUACACCUGGAAGAAGAUGUGGUCAGCAGCCUCAGCCCAGCUCCUCCCGGACCCCUUCCCUGCUCCGGGGGCUUCUGUGUGGACAGGAAGAGUAAAAGAAGACAUACUGCAUGCUCUGCAUGUGCACAAGGGUGAACCCCAGAGAGUGCUAGUCUGUGUCCCCCUUCAUCAGAGUCACAGCUAAUGAACAUUCGGGUCUGGCCCCUUCUAGAUCAUCGUGAGUUGAAGAAAUGCCCCCUGAGACAGGCUGUGCAAGGCACAGGGUUAUCCUGUGCUAAGUCACUUCAGUCGUGUCUUGACUCUUUGUGACCCCACGGACUGUAGCCCACCAGGCUCCUCUGUCCAUGGGAUUCUCCAGGCAGGAAUACUGGAGUGGGUUGCCAUGCCCUCCUUCCCGACCCAGGGAUGGAACUCACGUCUCAUGUCUCCUGCAUUGGCAGGCGGGCUCUAUACCCCUAGUGCCACCUGGGAAGCCCAGGGAGUCUGAAGUCACUGGGCCUUAGGGAGGCUGAUUCUGCUCCCUGGUCCACACCUGCUGCUUCCAAGCGCAGCCACGGUGGAGUCCGGUCAGCGGAGCCGGCAGAGAUGGGUGCAGGAACCUCUAAAGAGCCCGGUGACCUGCAGCCCCAGUCUGCCAGCUCUGCCCCUAGGCCUGCUCCUCCACCCACCAGGAAGGGGCCCCAGCCCUGCCCACCUUCAGGGUUAGGCCCUGGCUUCCCAUGGUCUUGCUGCUCCCCAUUCAGCACUGGAUUGCAGCUGUCCUCUGCCCUGAGGUUGCCCCGGGCCAGGAGCCCGGCCAAUAGCACCGUCUCGGUGGUGCUGACAAAGAGCAGCAGCAGCAGGACGGUGAAGUAGUAAACUGGAGAGGGGGUGGAGAAGAGAGGUCAGGAGCCAGGCCUGGCCUCGCGGGCCCCGGGACCUGAGCAGAGGCCCCGGGCUGAGCGAGGGCAGGGGCCUUACCUAGCAGCGGGUUGCAGGAGGAGGAGCUGGGCAGGGCCUGCAUCAUGGAGGAGUGGAAGACAAGGUAGCUCAGAAGCAGGGUCACCUUGUAGGCGAUGCGCUCAGUCUGGAGGGGCAGCAGCCCCCCACACAGGUCAGCCAACAGCAGCGCCUCCCCGGGGACUAGGAGUGUUAGGAUGGCCUUUAGCGCUGUGUUCUGCAGGCGCAACUGGAAGGAAGACAGGGCGUUCCCGGGGUGGGCAUAGAAGAGUGAGGUAAUGGCCUCUGGCUGUGCAUCCCCAACACCCCCCUCGGCCCUCGGUAGCCACCUCCCAACUCACCGUCACCUGGAAGCAGGGUACCAGCUGCUGGGAUGGGAUUUGGAUUUUCAGAUCCUGAACCAUGAACUCCCUCUUGACACUCACAAUCUCAUUCACCGCGUGGACUUGGAACUCCAGCUCCGUCACUGAAGCGGGAGGGGUGAGAAUGGUGAACUUAGAAAGAAAUACCCUGUGCCUCCAUGUCUCUUGGGAGUAGGGGCAGGGAUGGACUGGAGCCCGGGGAUGAUGGAGCCCUCUGAUGGUUGCUGGGGGCAGACUUGGAAGCUAGUCUGUCCAAGGGCUUUCCAAACUGAUUUUGCAAUACCCCAAGUUUUCUCCACUUAGAGGAAGGGCCAUCUCAGAUUCCUAAAAUGAAUUUUCAUUGUAAAAAUAAACGCACUUUGCACCACUUCA